UACGGAGGGUGCGAGCGUUGUCCGGAAUCACUGGGCGUAAAGGGCGCGUAGGCGGACAGUACAGUCAGAUGUGAAAGCCCCGGGCUCAACCUGGGAAUUGCAUUUGAGACUGCAUUGCUUGGGUGCGGAAGAGGGAAGCGGAAUUUCCGGUGUAGCGGUGAAAUGCGUAGAUAUCAGGAGGAACACCAAUGGCGAAGGCAGCUCGCUGGGACGGUACUGACGCUGAGGCGCGAAAGCGUGGGGAGCAAACAGG
rnacentral:rRNA from 1 species